UACGGAGGGUGCAAGCGUUAAUCGGAAUUACUGGGCGUAAAGCGCACGCAGGUGGCUGAGUCAGUCGAUUGUGAAAGCCCUGGGCUUAACCUGGGAAUUGCAGUCGAUACUACUCAGCUAGAGUAUGGGAGAGGGAAGUGGAAUUCCCGGUGUAGUGGUGAAAUGCGUAGAUAUCGGGAGGAACACCAGUGGCGAAGGCGACUUCCUGGCCUGCUCUUGACGCUGAGGCGCGAAAGCUAGGGGAGCAAACGGG
rnacentral:rRNA from 1 species